GGGAGAUGAGGAGUGGUCAUUGCUUGCAAUUAAAUAAAUAUGCAAGAGGGGGUGUCUGCCUAAAGCCUGUUACGACAAUUGGGCACCUCUAAUUUUAAACCCGGAUCCC
rfam:Helianthus annuus linkage group 12, whole genome shotgun sequence.